AUGGCGGUCGCAGGUGGUCUCUACACCAACGACGGCACCACGGGAUUCAUUGCAAAAUCAGAAGGCUGGUUCCCCAAGAUCUACGAUCUGAUUCAUGUCAAUCCUCAUAAAGAAGAUGUCUGGCGUUUCCUGGUUGAACUUGGUGGGCAGGUGCUCAUCCUCGUCAGGCUGCGGGGGCGCGUCAAGGUUUUCAAGUACGACGACGCCGAGCCCGUGCCCGUGGAGAGCAUCGGCAGCCAUGCCAUCUUCGUCGGUCACCACAGGUGCCUCGCCGUGGAAGCCGACAGGUUCCCGUCCGUCGAGGCAAACUGCAUCUACUACAUUGAUCGACGGGGUUUGUCAGCCCACAUCUGCAUGUACAGCCUCAGGGACGAGAAAGAGGAGAGGGUCUCUGCUGGGGCCGUCGAUUUCGUGAAGCCGCACAAGCUGUUAGUCCUCGUCGCCGACCGCCCCUUCACCGUCAUCCAGCUUCUCUGCAGCUACACCAUCAACGCCCGGGAUUCUCAGCUGCCGUUGAAAGAAGACGCCGACAACUUUGACAAAAAAUCGUUUUAA
rnacentral:rRNA from 1 species